CUUCCCUCAGCCAUGAAGGGCUGGCGCUCAGUCAGCUCACGGCAAGUUGAAGGCAAGCUCCAGAUCACAAAACCACCGGGGGAGAUAUCUGACAUUGAGGAGAUACAGAGCAGCAUGAAAAUAAGACACCCCAGAUUUGUCCACGUGGGACUUCAUAAUGGAAACAAAUUUGAAAUCGAAAUGAUACACUUGCACGGAAUGGUCCUGCACACAGUAACAUUGUGGCUCCGGUCCUGGGAGAAAACAAAAUGCAAGCAACCAGAAGAUGGAUUUUCUGCCCAACAGAACCUGUUCCCUUAACCUGAAAAAGAGGAGAGUGCUUAAAGUGGACUUCUGCGGAAGCUCCUUCGGGGAGAUGCUGCCCUCGAGGGUGGCCAGCCACGGCAGGCAGGGUCCCCAAGCUGUGCUCAGGGGACCUCUUAUAGCAACCCGUACUUCAAAGACUGAGAGAAGAUAAAAACUUGUCCGACUAGUCCUAGCAACGUCAAAGCAGUGAAACCUCCACACCACAAGUCUUCGGAAUUGAAAAGAAAACGAAAUAUGGCCUGAUAUUCAGACACGCUCCGGCGCAGACAGCACCAGGCAGACCCCACGCCCAGAGGGGCAGGAGGGCGACCCAGGUUCACUGCAGCCGGGAGAGGUGCCGGGCCAGAGUGAGCAGCGCCCUUCCUGCCCACGGCCUCACCAGGGUUAGUGGGCCACAGGCAACCCAAUCACCCCAAGUGAGAGGUUCUGAGAAGAUGAGAAGGGUCUGAAUCGAAUGAAUCAAAUGAGUUCCCCUGCAAACUGCUGUCUCAUUGGCUCACAACUGUCUGUGGGAAUGGAUGACGCUAAAGCAGAUAUCGACUCCAAAGGCCUCUCCGGGGCCCAAGAAAGAACCAGAUGGGCCUGACACUUGAACUCUGGCAUUCCACGGUCCACUGAAGUUAGCAAAAAAAUAGCAUGCGGGGGCAACAGGGGAUCCUCCCAUUUCCUAUCAUCCAAAGUCAAGGGGGCUGGGGAAGGCAAAGGACACCUGGAUGAAAACUAUUUUUCCCAUUUUUCAUUCGAGACCAACAUCUUGAAAGUUCACUCACAGGAACUGACCGGGAAAAUUGCAAGCCAGCCCUGGAGCCCCACAUUUCCUGGUGCUGG